GGCUAUUAGUUUUAUGUAUUAACAGGAGGAAAAAUUUAGUUGAUGGAACUACAGUUGCCGUAGGACUGCCUUGCAGGUACAUAAAAGAUGCCGAUAAUCAGAGGGGCACUGGUAACCAAUCGAUGCCGCUCAUCAGAGGUGUUCAGGACCCCUUAUGUCAACAUAGUAAUCAACUGUUCUCGACAAGCACUGUUCGAUUGGUCAAGAUAGACUGGUUAUAGUGGAAUUCAAGCCUUGACGGACAUAUCGUCUGUAUUUGCCCUGUCUUGCUGAUGGUAGAGAGCUCUUCUGCACCUCGUGCACAUAACAGAAUCCGGAUAGACAA
rnacentral:lncRNA from 1 species